rnacentral:rRNA from 1 species
GACGAACGCUGGCGGCGUGCUUAACACAUGCAAGUCGAGCGAAAAACUUCGGUUUCUAGCGGCGGACGGGUGAGUAACACGUGGGCAACCUGCCUCACAAUGGGGGAUAGCCUUCCGAAAGGAAGAUUAAUACCGCAUAACACAAAGGAAACGCAUGUUUCUUUUGCCAAAGAAUUUCGUUGUGAGAUGGGCCCGCGGCGCAUUAGCUUGUUGGUGAGGUAACGGCUCACCAAGGCGACGAUGCGUAGCCGACCUGAGAGGGUGAUCGGCCACAUUGGAACUGAGACACGGUCCAGACUCCUACGGGAGGCAGCAGUGGGGAAUAUUGCACAAUGGAGGAAACUCUGAUGCAGCAACGCCGCGUGAGUGAUGAAGGUCUUCGGAUUGUAAAGCUCUGUCUUCUGGGACGAUAAUGACGGUACCAGAGGAGGAAGCCACGGCUAACUACGUGCCAGCCGCCGCGGUAA